rnacentral:tRNA from 1 species
GGAGAGAUGCCGGAGUGGUCGAACGGGACGGAUUCGAAAUCCGUUGUACGGGUAACCGUACCUAGGGUUCGAAUCCCUAUCUCUCCG